UUUGCCUACGGGAGGCAGCAGUGGGGAAUAUUGCGCAAUGGGCGAAAGCCUGACGCAGCGACGCCGCGUGAGGGAUGAAGGUCUUCGGAUCGUAAACCUCUGUCAGCAGGGAAGAACGGUCACUGUGCUAAUCAGCAGUGAAUUGACGGUACCUGCAAAGGAAGCACCGGCUAACUCCGUGCCAGCAGCCGCGGUAAUACGGAGGAUGCGAGCGUUAUCCGGAUUUAUUGGGUUUAAAGGGUGCGUAGGCGGUCCGGAAAGUCAGCGGUAAAAGCCCGGGGCUCAACCCCGGCGAGCCGUUGAAA
rnacentral:rRNA from 1 species